UGUGGCUCAGUGGCAGAGCACUUGCCUAAUGUGUAUGAACACUGGGUUCAAUUCUCAGCA
rnacentral:tRNA from 1 species